UACGGGGGGGCAAGCGUUGUUCGGAAUUCCUGGGCGUAAAGGGCUCGUAGGCGGCCAACUAAGUCGGAUGUGAAAUCCCCAGGCUCAACCUGGGAACUGCAUCCGAUACUGGAUGGCUUGAAUUCGGGAGAGGGAUGCAGAAUUCCAGGUGUAGCGGUGAAAUGCGUAGAUAUCUGGAGGAAUACCGGUGGCGAAGGCGGCAUCCUGGACCGACAUUGACGCUGAGGAGCGAAAGCCAGGGGAGCAAACGGG
rnacentral:rRNA from 1 species